rnacentral:misc_RNA from 1 species
UGGAUAUAGGAUUUAGUAUAAUUUUUAAAUUUAUUUAAAAUGUCAGAAUCAUACGAUAGCAGCAUAAAAUAAAGCGUAAAAAUUAGUAUUAGACCUAUAUCU